rnacentral:lncRNA from 1 species
AUUUACAUGAAAUUAAUUCCAUCCCAGAGUUCUGGUAAAAACGAGGAGCCAUUUAAAGGCUGAGCUCUGGCUGUUUACGUAUCAUUAGACUCCCCCUGUGGAACCAUUUCCUUGUAAAUCUUCAUAGUCCGUUUGUAUUCUGUAUGCAUUUGGUCUCUUGACGGCUCCGAUGGUUCUUAAUUAUAUUUCUCUUAGGCAGUCCCAGUUGUAGGUGUCUUUCAACUAACAACCGGUAGUCAUAUGCCAUCAUGACGCCAUGACAAAAAGAGCUAGUCUCAACCUAAUUAUUAAUAACAAUAGUAAUAUCUUUCUAGCUUCUUCCAAGAAAACAUGAAAAGCACAUUACCUGAUUAAUUAACAGACUAUUCCAGUAAAUGAAGCAUAGUUUUAGUUGGUCAAGUUUUUUAAAAUUUCUGUAUUUAUUUUUAACCUCAAGUGCCCAGGGUUAAGUUAAUCACAUUCCAGUUUCUGAACCACUAGUAUUGAUCUGCCAGAGGACCAGUGUAUUCUAUUUGUUUUUAAUUAUUCUUCAAUCCCAUUUAUCACUCUCAUGCCCUCCUCCCUCUUAGGCGGUAUUCAAAAUAUGGUUUUUAAAAUUUUAUUUUUUCCGGCUUUAUUGAGAUAUAAUUGACAUAGGUUUAAGGUAUAUACAUAGUGAUUUUAUGUAUGUAUAUAUUGCAAAAUUAUUGCCACAAUAAGUUAACGUAUCCAUCUCCUCACAUAGUUAUACAUUUUUUUUGUGUGUGGUGAGAACUUUUAAAAUCUGCUCUUAGGUACUUUCGAAUAUACAGUAUAGUAUUCUUAACUUUAGUCACCAUGCUGUACAUUAUAUUCCUAGAACUUAUUAAUCUUCUAACUGGAAGUUUGUGUCUUUUGAUAGCCUUCACCCAUUUUCCCACCCUCCUCCCCCUCCCUCUGGUAACCACCAGUCUGUUCUUUCUAUUCUUUUGUUUUUCUCAUAAAAUGUGUACGCACUUUUUGAUUUGCACUGUUGCUGUGUACUCUAUGUGCUCUCUUUUCCUUUUUUUCAACACUAAGUUUCUUAGGCCAGUUUUUCUUCCUUUUUUUCUAAAUGAAUAAAAUAGUUUACAAGCCUCAUUAGAAAAAAAAAUACAAACAGUGAAACAUCAGUGGCAUAUUAUGCUCACUCCUUACCUACUCCUUCCUCAGUUAAGCAAGUAAUGCUACAUAGGUAUGAAUGGGUAUGCAAAUUUAAUAUGACAGGAGCUCAGGAAUGCACCGUAUAUGGAACACCAGAUCUCCAGAGCUCAUUGGAAUAUUCAUUAGGAAAGGGAAACAUAUUCCUGAUUAAGAGUAAAAAUAUGAUUGAAGAAGAUAAAGUAGGGCACAGAUCAAUGAAAAUAAUUAAAAUUUCCUCCCUUUUUAAGCAGCUGAAUGGAUUUGGCUACUCCUGUUCUUCUGGUGCAGAGUUGACUAGGUGAGAAUCAGCUAAGAUGCAGUCCAUGGCUUCACAGAAAUCAGUAUGUAGCAACAGGGUAGCCUAAGUCACCCAGAAGGAGGGGUCAGUGUCUGCAGAAAGAGGAUACAGCAAUUAGGCUAAUAGGAACAACAGCACUUGGCUUCUUCUGAGAUUCAGGAGAUGCAGGGAAAUGGGAAGCUAAACAUAGAAGCAGUGUAUCUCAAAUCUUUGCCGUGUGGUGAUGAAGUUGUGCUUGGCAGUAAGAGCUGGACUUGCUAAACUCAAAGAAGCGAAACCUAGGCUCCAGGGCCGCUUUGAUUAGACUGAUCACAUCCAUAGGGAUAUUAUGCAUCAUUCACAUUUUAGCACCCUGGGGCAGCAUAGCAGCAAGAACUAAACCCUGAUGACGCUUUGGCAAUACCUGGAAUGUAGGAAACAGAAGCAAUAGCCAUAUUGAAUUUCAGGCAUGGUAUAUUUUUUUCCAUUAGCAAUUUUUAAUUUUUUAAAAAAACCGUCUCAAUCCAGAAACAAUACUAUUAUGUGGCUGUGUCCAGGGAUCUCUUUU